rnacentral:rRNA from 1 species
GAUGAACGCUGACAGAAUGCUUAACACAUGCAAGUCGAUGGGGAAGUGGUGCUUGCACCAUGGUAACCAUGGCGGACGGGUGAGUAACGCGUAAGGAACUUGCCUGCGGGACUGGGAUAACAGCAGGAAACUGCUGAUAAUACCGGAUAAGGUCAUUAAGCUGCAUAGCUUAGUGAUGAAAGGAGACGCCUGCGGAGAGCCUUGCGUCCUAUUAGCUAGUUGGAGGGGUAACGGCCCACCAAGGCGAAGAUAGGUAGCCGGCCUGAGAGGGUGGACGGCCACAAGGGGACUGAGAUACGGCCCUUACUCCUACGGGAGGCAGCAGUGGGGAAUAUUGGACAAUGGGGGCAACCCCGAUCCAGCAAUUCUGUGUGCACGAAGACGGUUUUCGGAGUGUAAAGUGCUUUCAGCAGGGAAGAAGGAAGUGACGGUACCUGCAGAAGAAGCGACGGCUAAAUACGUG